UGGUCGUGUCUCGCAGUUUCCUUAGAAGAUCCAAGUGUUCCCGUUCUUGUUGUUUUUUCAGGAAUGAUGCUUGGCUUAUCAGGAGGCCUCUCAUGACAGUUUGGUGGGCCUGCCAAAUGGCUGCGGCGGAGGUUUCCGGGAGAUCAUUGAGUUCGAAGUAUGUUUGCAGGCUGUUCAUGAGUUUUGUCGUGAAUACGGUGUUGUGAAGCAGGUUGUCAUUUAGACGCCACGGUGGUUUUCCUCUGUGUUGGUAUUGAGUUAGUAUGGUCAUUGUAAGCGGUGCAUG